CAAAUAGAACCCGGGUAGUCCACGCCGUAAACGGUGGGUACUAGGUGUGGGUUUCCUUCCUUGGGAUCCGUGCCGUAGCUAACGCAUUAAGUACCCCGCCUGGGGAGUACGGCCGCAAGGCUAAAACUCAAAGAAAUUGGCGGGGGGCCCGCACAAGCGGCGGAGCAUGUGGAUUAAUUCGAUGCAACGCGAAGAACCUUACCUGGGUUUGACAUGCACAGGACGCUGGUAGAGAUAUCAGUUCCCUUGUGGCCUGUGUGCAGGUGGUGCAUGGCUGUCGUCAGCUCGUGUCGUGAGAUGUUGGGUUAAGUCCCGCAACGAGCGCAACCCUUAUCUUAUGUUGCCAGCGCGUAAUGGCGGGGACUCGUGAGAGACUGCCGGGGUCAACUCGGAGGAAGGUGGGGAUGACGUCAAGUCAUCAUGCCCCUUAUGUCCAGGGCUUCACACAUGCUACAAUGGCCGGUACAAAGGGCUGCGAUGCCGUGAGGUGGAGCGAAUCCUUCAAAGCCGGUCUCAGUUCGGAUCGGGGUCUGCUAACCG
rnacentral:rRNA from 1 species